rnacentral:rRNA from 1 species
GUGGGGAAUCUUGCGCAAUGGGCGAAAGCCUGACGCAGCCAUGCCGCGUGAAUGAUGAAGGUCUCAGGAUUGUAAAAUUCUUUCACCGGGGACGAUAAUGACGGUACCCGGAGAAGAAGCUCCGGCUAACUUCGUGCCAGCAGCCGCGGUAAUACGAAGGGGGCUAGCGUUGCUCGGAAUUACUGGGCGUAAAGGGCGCGUAGGCGGACAGCUUAGUCAGAGGUGAAAGCCCAGGGCUCAACCUUGGAAUUGCCUUUGAUACUGGCUGUCUUGAGUUUGGGAGAGGUGAGUGGAACUCCGAGUGUAGAGGUGAAAUUCGUAGAUAUUCGGAAGAACACCAGUGGCGAAGGCGACUCACUGGCCCAAUACUGACGCUGAGGCGCGAAAGCGUGGGGAGCAAACAGGAUUAGAAACCCCUGUAGUCC